GCCAGGCAUGGUGGCGCAUGCCUGUAAUCCCAGCUACUCCGGAGGCUGAGGCAGGAGAAUUGCUUGAAUCCAGGAAGUGGAGGUUGCAGUGAGCUGAGAUUGUGCCACUGCACUCUAGCCUGGGUGACGAAGCAAGAUUCCACCUCAA
rfam:Pan troglodytes isolate Yerkes chimp pedigree #C0471 (Clint) chromosome 6, whole genome shotgun sequence.